rnacentral:rRNA from 1 species
UACGUAGGGGGCAAGCGUUAUCCGGAUUUACUGGGUGUAAAGGGAGCGUAGACGGCGGUGCAAGUCUGGAGUGAAAGGCAGGGGCCCAACCCCUGGACUGCUCUGGAAACUGUAGUGCUGGAGUGCAGGAGAGGUAAGUGGAAUUCCUAGUGUAGCGGUGAAAUGCGUAGAUAUUAGGAGGAACACCAGUGGCGAAGGCGGCUUACUGAACUGUAACUGACGUUGAGGCUCGAAAGCGUGGGGAGCAAACAGG